CUGUGUCCAUGUGUUCUCAUUGUUCAAUUCCCACCUAUGAGUGAGAAUAUGUGGUGUUUGGUUUUUUGUCCUUGCGAUAGUUUACUGGGAAUGAUGAUUUCCAAUUUCAUCCAUGUCCCUACAAAGGACAUGAACUCCUCAUUUUUUACGGCUGCAUAGUAUUCCAUGGUGUAUAUGUGCCAUAUUUUCUUCAUCCAGUCUAUCAUUGUUGGACAUUUGGGUUGGUUCCAAGUCUUUGCUAUUGUGAAUAAUGCCGCAAUAAACAUACGUGUGCAUGUGUCUUUAUAGCAGCAUGAUUUAUAGUCCUUUGGGUAUAUACCCAGUAAUGGGAUGGCUGGGUCAAAUGGUAUUUCUAGUUCUAGAUCCCUGAGGAAUUGCCACACUGUCUUCCACAAUGGUCGAACUAGUUUACAGUCCCACCAACAGUGUAAAAGUGUUCCUAUUUCUCCACAUCCUCUCCAGCACCUGUGGUUUCCUGACUUUUUAAUGAUUGUCAUUCUAACUGGUGUGAGAUGGUAUCUCAUUGUGGUUUUGAUUUGCAUUUCUCUGAUGGCCAGUGAUGAUGAGCAUUUUUUCAUGUGUUUUUUGGCUGCAUAAAUGUCUUCUUUUGAGAAGUGUCUGUUCAUGUCCUUCACCCACUUGUUGAUGGGGUUGUGUGUUUUUUUCUUGUAAAUUUGUUUGAGUUCAUUGUAGAUUCUGGAUAUUAGCCCUUUGUCAGAUGAGUAGGUUGCGAAAAUUUUCUCCCAUUUUGUAGGUUGCCUGUUCACUCUGAUGGUAGUUUCUUUUGCUGUGCAGAAGCUCUUGAGUUUAAUUAGAUCCCAUUUGUCAAUUUUGGCUUCUGUUGCCAUUGCUUUUGGUGUUUUAGACAUGAAGUCCUUGCCCAUGCCUAUGUCCUGAACGGUAAUGCCUAGGUUUUCUUCUAGGGUUUUUAUGGUUUUAGGUCUAACGUUUAAGUCUUUAAUCCAUCUUGAAUUAAUUUUUGUAUAAGGUGUAAGGAAGGGAUCCAGUUUCAGCUUUCUACAUAUGGCUAGCCAGUUUUCCCAGCACCAUUUAUUAAAUAGGGAAUCCUUUCCCCAUUGCUUGUUUUUCUCAGGUUUGUCAAAGAUCAGAUAGUUGUAGAUAUGCGGCGUUAUUUCUGAGGGCUCUGUUCUGUUCCAUUGAUCUAUAUCUCUGUUUUGGUACCAGUACCAUGCUGUUUUGGUUAGUGUAGCCUUGUAGUAUAGUUUGAAGUCAGGUAGUGUGAUGCCUCCAGCUUUGUUCUUUUGGUGUUGGAUUGACUUGGCGAUGCGGGCUCUUUUUUCAUUCCAUAUGAACUUUAAAGUAGCUUUUUCCAAUUCUGUGAAGAAAGUCAUUGGUAGCUUGAUGGGGAUGGCAUUGAAUCUAUAAAUUACCUUGGGCAGUAUGGCCAUUUUCACGAUAUUGAUUCUUCCUACCCAUGAGCAUGGAAUGUUCUUCCAUUUAUUUGUAUCCUCUUUUAUUUCAUUGAGCAGUGGUUUGUAGUUCUCCUUGAAGAGAUCCUUCAUGUCCUUUGUAAGUUGGAUUCCUAGGUAUUUUAUUCCAGGAAUCAAAUUGUGAAUGAAGCAAUUGUGAAUGGGAGUUCACUCAUGAUUUGGCUCUCUGUUUGUCUGUUAUUGGUGUAUAAGAAUGCUUGUGAUUUUUGUACAUUGACUUUGUAUCCUGAGACUUUGCUGAAGUUGCUUAUCAGCUUAAGGAGAUUUUGGGCUGAGACAAUGGGGUUUUCUAGGUAUACAAUCAUGUCAUCUGCAAACAGGGACAAUUUGACUUCCUCUUUUCCUAAUUGAAUACCCUUUAUUUCCUUCUCCUGCCUAAUUGCCCUGGCUAGAACUUCCAACAGUAUGUGGAAUAGGAGUGGUGAGAGACAGCAUCCCUGUCUUGUGCCAGUUUUCAAAGGGAAUGCUUCCAGUUUUUGCCCAUUCAGUAUGAUAUUGGCUGUGGGUCUGUCAUAGAUAGCUCUUAUUAUUUUGAGAUAUGUCCCAUCAAUACUUAAUUUAUUGAGAGCUUUUAGCAUGAAGGGUUGUUGAAUUUUGUCAAAGGACUUUUCUGCAUCUAUUGAGAUAAUCAUGUGGUUUUUGUCUUUGGUUCUGUUUAUAUGCUGGAUUACAUUUAUUGAUUUGCGGAUAUUGAACCAGCCUUGCAUCCCAGGGAUGAAGCCCACUUGAUCAUGUUGGAUAAGCUUUUUGAUGUGCUGCUGGAUUCGGAUUGCCAGUAUUUUAUUGAGGAUUUUUGCAUCAAUGUUCAUCAAGGAUAUUGGUCUAAAAUUCUCUUUUUUUGUUGUGUCUCUGCCCGGCUUUGGUAUCAGGAUGAUGCUGGUCUCAUAAAAUGAGUUAGGGAGGAUUCCCUCUUUUUCUAUUGAUUGGAAUAGUUUCAGGAGGAAUGGUACCAGCUCCUCCUUGUACCUCUGGUAUAAUUCGGCUGUGAAUCCAUCUGGUCCUGGACUCUUUUUGGUUGGUAAGCUAUUGAUUAUUGCCACAAUUUCAGAGCCUGUUAUUGGUCUAUUCAGAGAGUCAACUUCUUCCUGGUUUAGUCUUGGGAGGGUGUAUGUGUCGAGGAAUUUAUCCCUUUCUUCUAGAUUUUCUAGUUUAUUUGCUUAGAGCUGUUUGUAGUAUCCUCUGACGGUAGUUUGUAUUUCUGUGGGAUUGGUGGUGAUAUCCCCUUUAUCAUUUUUUAUUGUGUCUAUUUGAUUCUUCUCUCUUUUCUUCUUUAUUAGUCUUGUUAGCGGUCUAUCAAUUUUCUUGAUCCUUUCAAAAAACCAGCUCCUGGAUUCAUUGAUUUUUUGAAGUGUUUUUUGUGACUCUAUUUCCUUCAGUUCUGCUCUGAUUUUAGUUAUUUCUUGCCUUCUGCUAGCUUUUGAAUGUGUUUGCUCUUGCUUUUCUAGUUCUUUUAAUUGUGAUAUUAGGGUGUCAAUUUUGGAUCUUUCCUACUUUCUCUUGUGGGCAUUUACUGCUAUAAAUUUCCCUCUACACACUGCUUUGAAUGUGUCCCAGAGAUUCUGAUAUGUUGUGUCUUUGUUCUCGUUGGUUUCAAAGAACAUCUUUAUUUCUGCCUUCAUUUCAUUAUUUACCCAGUAGUCGUUCAGGAGCAGGUUGUUCAGUUUCCAUAUAGUUGAGCGGUUUUGAGUGAGAUUCUUAAUCCUGAGCUCUAGUUUGAUUGCACUGUGGUCUGAGAGACAGCUUGUUAUAAUUUCUGCUUGUUUACAUUUGCUGAGGAGAGCUUUACUUCCAACUAUGUGGUCAAUUUUGGAAUAGGUGUGGUGUGGUGCUGAAAAAAAUGUAUAUUCUGUUGAUUUGGGGUGGAGAGUUCUGUAGAUGUCUAUUAGGUCCGCUUGGUGCAGAGAUGAGUUCAAUUCCUGGGUAUCCUUGUUAACUUUCUGUCUUGUUGAUCUAAUGUUGACAGUGGGGUGUUAAAGUCUCCCAUUAUUAUUGUGUGGGAGUCUAAGUCUCUUUGUAGGUUACUCAGGACUUGCUUUCUGAAUCUGGGUGCUCCUGUAUUGGGUGCAUAUAUAUUUAGGAUAGUUAGCUCUUCUUGUUGAAUUGAUCCCUUUACCCUUAUGUAAUGGCCUUCUUUGUCUCUUUUGAUCUUUGUUGGUUUAAAGUCUGUUUUAUCAGAGACUAGGAUUGCAACCCCUGCCUUUUUUUGUUUUCCAUUGGCUUGGUAGAUCUUCCUCCUUCCUUUUAUUUUGAGCCUAUGUGUGUCUCUGCACGUGAGACAGGUUUUUUGAAGUGAGGAGUGUCUUUUAAUUGGAGCAUUUAGCCCAUUUACAUUUAAAGUUAAUAUUGUUAUGUGUGAAUUUGAUCCUGUCAUUAUGAUGUUAGCUGGUUAUUUUGCUCGUUAGUUGAUGCAGUUUCUUCCUAGCCUUGAUGGUCUUUACAAUUUGGCAUGAUUUUGCAGGGGCUGGUACCGGUUGUUCCUUUCCAUGUUUAGUGCUUCCUUCAGGAGCUCUUUUAGGGCAGGCCUGGUGGUGACAAAAUCUCUCAGCAUUUGCUUGUCUGUAAAGUAUUUUAUUUCUCCUUCACUUAUGAAGCUUAGUUUGGAUGGAUAUGAAAUUCUGGGUUGAAAAUUCUUUUCUUUAAGAAUGUUGAAUAUUGGCCCCCACUCUCUUCUGGCUUGUAGAGUUUCUGCUGAGAGAUCCGCUGUUAGUCUGAUGGGCUUCCCUUUGUGGGUAACCCGACCUUUCUCUCUGGCUGCCCUUAACAUUUUUUCCUUCAUUUCAACUUUGGUGAAUCUGACAAUUAUGUGUCUUGGAGUUGCUCUUCUCGAGGAGUAUCUUUGUGGCGUUCUCUGUAUUUCCUGAAUCUGAAUGUUGGCCUACCUUGCUAGAUUGGGGAAGUUCUCCUAGAUAAUAUCCUGCAGAGUGUUUUCCAACUUGGUUCCAUUCUCCCCGUCACUUUCAGGUACACCAAUCAGACGCAGAUUUGGUCUUUUCACAUAGUCCCAUAUUUCUUGGAGGCUUUGUUCGUUUCUUGUUAUUCUCUUUUCUCUAAACUUCCCUUCUCGCUUCAGUUCAUUCAUUUCAUCUUCCAUCACUGAUACCCUUUCUUCCAGUUGAUCGCAUCAGCUCCUAAGGCUUCUGCAUUCUUCACGUAGUUCUCGAGCCUUGGCUUUCAGCUCCAUCAGCUCCUUUAAGCACUUCUCUGUAUUGGUUAUUCUAGUUAUACAUUCGUCUAAAUUUUUUUCAAAGUUUUCAACUUCUUUGCCUUUGGUUUGAAUUUCUUCCUGUAGCUCAGAGUAGUUUCAUUGUCUGAAGCCUUCUUCUCUCAACUCGUCAAAGUCAUUCUCCGUCCAGCUUUGUUCCAUUGCUAGUGAGGAGCUGAGUUCCUUUGGAGGAGGAGAGGCGUUCUGCUUUUUAGAGUUUCCAGUUUUUCUGCUCUGUUUUUUCCCCAUCUUUGUGGUUUUAUCUACUUCUGGUCUUUGAUGAUGGUGAUGUACAGAUGGGUUUUUGGUGUGGAUGUCCUUUCUGUUUGUUAGUUUUCC
rnacentral:lncRNA from 1 species